AAAAAAGCAGUGGUCUGUUGCCUAUCUCUGAGCAGUCCUCUCUAAUUAUCAGGCAUAUCAUAACCAUUGUUUUUGGGUGAACCUCCGUUCCUUGUUUGUAAACGAAGGUUCAGUAAAUGAUGGAACAUUU
rnacentral:snoRNA from 1 species